UACGGGGGGGGCAAACGUUGUUCGGAAUUACUGGGCGUAAAGGGCUCGUAGGUGGCCAACUAAGUCAGACGUGAAAUCCCUCAGCUUAACUGGGGAACUGCGUCUGAUACUGGAUGGCUUGAGUUUGGGAGAGGGAUGCGGAAUUCCAGGUGUAGCGGUGAAAUGCGUAGAUAUCUGGAGGAACACCGGUGGCGAAGGCGGCAUCCUGGACCAACACUGACACUGAGGAGCGAAAGCCAGGGGAGCAAACGGG
rnacentral:rRNA from 1 species